rnacentral:tRNA from 1 species
GGUAGUAGCUCAGUUGGUAGAGCAUCAGCUUCCCAAGCUGAGGGUCGCGGGUUCGAGUCCCGUCUAC